rnacentral:ncRNA from 1 species
CGAAAAACAUUGAGCGGGAAGAGUAGACGUCCCCAUCUGCCGACAGGGAGCCUGCGCCAUUGACUGGAAGCGCGGGCGGCCGGAUGCCGUCGAAGUUCACCCCGCUAGUUGCCGCCGGGACCAGCAGCUGCUGUAAAGGCGGGCCGGCGAACAGGCCGUUAUCCUGUCCGAGUGGCCGCAAGUGUCUGCGGCAAUCAGGGUGGUACCGCGAAUUCAGCCUCGUCCCUUUU